UAAGGCCUUAUAUGGAUCCCAGGUACCUAUUCAUCGUUCACUUGGGGUUCAUCAUGAACCAUAGCACCAUUGCUUUUUAUUAAUUUUGCUUGCCUUUUGUUUUAAAAGUUUUAAACCUAUUUUCUUAAAGGCUAUGAUUGCUUGAAAAAUGAAAACUGUUAGUGGCAAAGAUAACCAAACAUGUUAUUUUUAUGUUUGAGGCAUAUAUCUUGUUUCUUUGAUGCAUUUAUAGCACCAAAUGUGCUGCAAUUUUCAUGGAAUUGCACUACAUGAACUAAUUUCAGUGAAUCAGUAGAAAGUCGGUGUCAAUAUCAUGUACUCUAUAGAACUUAUAGUUCAUUAUGGUGAAGAUGGUUAUAGGAGAGGCAUUAACAUGAUAAUGUGGUCCAAGAGUCAGGUAGCAUAUUUUCUCCUUGUGUCCCACCAUGAUGGGAAUGUCUUAGAAGCGAAGCAAUUUUUCCAUUCAUAUAUGAUUAAUUGGUUGAAUGAAAUUAAAUGAUGGGAAUAGAUAAGUUUUCUGCCAUUUAUACCUGAUGGGCAUUUUUUUCUAAAUACUUUCAAGA
rnacentral:misc_RNA from 1 species